UACAGAGGGUGCGAGCGUUAAUCGGAAUUACUGGGCGUAAAGCGUACGUAGACGGUUAUUUAAGUCGGGUGUGAAAGCCCCGGGCUCAACCUGGGAAUUGCAUUCGAGACUGAAUAGCUAGGGUACGGUAGAGGGAAGUGGAAUUUCCGGUGUAGCGGUGAAAUGCGUAGAUAUCGGAAGGAACAUCAGUGGCGAAAGCGGCCAUCUGGACAACUACUGACACUGAGACGCGAAAGCGUGGGUAGCAAACAGG
rnacentral:rRNA from 1 species